AUGAACGCUGGCGGCGUGCCUAAUACAUGCAAGUCGAGCGCACAGACGAGGAGCUUGCUCCUCUGACGUUAGCGGCGGACGGGUGAGUAACACGUGGAUAACCUACCUAUAAGACUGGGAUAACUUCGGGAAACCGGAGCUAAUACCGGAUAAUAUAUUGAACCGCAUGGUUCAAUAGUGAAAGACGGUUUUGCUGUCACUUAUAGAUGGAUCCGCGCCGCAUUAGCUAGUUGGUAAGGUAACGGCUUACCAAGGCAACGAUGCGUAGCCGACCUGAGAGGGUGAUCGGCCACACUGGAACUGAGACACGGUCCAGACUCCUAAGGGAGGCAGCAGUAGGGAAUCUUCCGCAAUGGGCGAAAGCCUGACGGAGCAACGCCGCGUGAGUGAAGAAGGUCUUCGGAUCGUAAAACUCUGUUAUUAGGGAAGAACAAAUGUGUAAGUAACUAUGCACGUCUUGACGGUACCUAAUCAGAAAGCCACGGCUAACUACGUG
rnacentral:rRNA from 1 species